CCUACGGGAGGCAGCAGUGGGGAAUAUUGCACAAUGGGGGAAACCCUGAUGCAGCGACGCCGCGUGAGUGAAGAAGUAUUUCGGUAUGUAAAGCUCUAUCAGCAGGGAAGAAGAAAUGACGGUACCUGACUAAGAAGCACCGGCUAAAUACGUGCCAGCAGCCGCGGUAAUA
rnacentral:rRNA from 1 species